rnacentral:tRNA from 1 species
GCAGGGAUGGCACAGUGGUGAGAGCACUCGCCUCCCACCAAUGCGACCCGGGUUCGAAUCUCGGACCCGACA